UAGAGAUAGCUGGUUAUUCAGGAAAAGGAUAUUAGUCCAACUUUAAUUCUCUUCAUACUAUCAAAUACACCCACAGAUUUAAAAUUUAUUCAAAUAAGGUUCAGCCUAUUUGAAACAGGAUACAACCUACACUACUAGGUAAUGAUGUUAUUACCGUGAUCAAGUAGGCCUAAAAGCAGCCAUCUUCAAAAAAGCGUCACAGCUUCAUCACCCUUAUAACUCAAUUUUAACCGAACCCCAAAACCUUUUAUUAAUACUGAAUGAUUCCAUACCACUAUGGAAAACCUUAUGCUAGAACUAGUAACAAGAAUAUUAUUCUCCUAACGUAAACGUAACCGGACUAACUUUUCCGUAUCUACCGCUAAUGAGCUCAAAGUAGUAACCCCACAAGAAAACCCUACUUUCUAAAGCGUUAACCUUACACUAGAACUUUUCUGGAAAGAUUAAAAAGAAGGGAAGGAACUCGGCAAACACUAACCCCGCCUGUUUACCAA
rnacentral:rRNA from 1 species